rnacentral:rRNA from 1 species
AUGAAGGGGUGGGGAGCCAACUUGGGCCGUGACACCAGGGAGCGUAAGAGGGCGCUGCUGACUGCGAUCCAGGCCCUUGACCUCCGGGCUGACGCGGUUGGUCUCUCCCCGGACGAGUGGCUGUCCCGCUAUGACCUCGAGUACCAGCUCUCCGUGAUCUACACUGAUGAGGAGGCCUAUUGGCGUAUCCGGGGCGCUCAGCGUUGGGUCUUGAAGGGUGACGCGAAUACGGCU